rnacentral:lncRNA from 1 species
GAGCCCAGCUGGGGUGGUAAAUAGAGUACAGUACAAAAGCGGAAGGGGCAGGCCUAGAAGCUGAAAGAAAAGCUCGAUAAUGGGGAAACAGUGUUUUUUCCUUCAAUUAAUGAUUAAUUUCUCAGCUGGUGGGGCCAGCAGUCUCUGACCGUCACGUGACAGCUAUGCGCCCCAUGACGCCUCUCCAGGGAGGCAGAGUGGGUGGCACUGAGGUGGAGCUCACCUUCCUGAAAUUCAGCCCCCUCAGUUUGGAGGAAGGAGGUAAACUGUUUCCUGUCCAGCCAGAAGUUUGCGGAGGGCCUUCCCCAGGCCAGGCAAUGCUGCCUGCGACUCUGUCCCUGACAGCGUUGGAUGCACCGUAUCUCUUCUGAUAUUAAGUCUGGAAGUGAUUUACUAUCCGAGUCCUCCCACAGUUCGAGCCUUUUGAUGUACUUUGUGUGCAUGUGUUUCUGUCACAUACGUGCCACAGUGGAACAGAUUUUGUUUUGACACUAUUUUGGUUCAUGAUGUUAUACUUUGACUAUUUUACAAUAAUAGCCAAUGUAAACAAACAUCUUUGGGAUUCUCAAAUUAUUACUUAUGAUUCUUGGACAUUGCAGCUCUUCGAUACUGACGCAUUCCUAGCUUUUUCCAAGGACACCGUAUGUUAACAUCCGUGCCAGCCUCAUUAUCCCCACAGCCAGGCUCUGGGUUGGGCGGUAAUGAGCAUUGUGCGGUUUCACUUUACACUUUGCAAAGUUGAUUAAGGCAGUGCCUUCUCCCAUGAUCAUUUUUGUACCCUGAUGUAGUAAAAUGGCUAAAUAUGGUGAAAGUUAAAAAAAAAAAA